GGUCGAAUUGGAGCUGUAGCCACUGGUCUACACCACAGCUACAGCUACUCCAGAUCCGAGCCGUGUCCACAUUCUACACCACAGCUCACAGCAAUGCCGGAUCCUUAACUUACUGAGCAAGGCCAGGGAUUGAACCUGUGUCCUCUUGGAUACUAGUUAGAUUCAUUUCCACUGCACCAACAUGGGAACUCCUAGUUCUCUUUUUCAUUCUUUUCUCUUCUCAAAUGGGUAAUCCUUUUAUAAGUUUGAACAUUUUAAAAAAUAUAAAAAUAUAUGUGUUUAGCAUGUCGUUCUCUUCUGUCCCUACUCAUUUUGCUCACCUCUUCUCUGACCCCUAUAGGCAGUCUUUGAUGUUAGGUUCUUAUUUUUCCUUCUGGCGGUUUUUAAUGAAAAUAUAAGCAAAUAUGAAUAUAUAUUACUAUUUUCCUUCCUUUCUUACUUGGCAAACAUCAUACUGUAUAUACUGUCUUGAACCUUGUUUUUCUCAUUCUUAACAUCAGAACAUAAAGAUAUUUCUCUCUCUCUUUUUUUAAUAGCUGCCAGUAUUCCAUUGCAUGGACUCAUCCUUUAUUCAGCUUAACACUAUUGCCUUUUUCAGGUCUUUUGCUGUUAAAAAUGAUGCCACGAGGAACAAUUGGGUAUAUAACAUCCUAUAAGCUUGCAGGAAUACCUUUGCUGGGGCAAAAGAUAAAUUUAAUUUUAGCAGUGCUUGAACUACAUGGUUCUAACUUUUUAAAGAAAUUUAUUACAAUGAAUCUGUCAUCUCACAUUCCAGUAUAUUUUAAGAUAGAGUUCUAUGAAAUUUGUUACCGUAUUUACUUCCAGGUGCAUAACACAGUGGUUGAGAGCAUGGACUCUGGAGUCAGACAGUCCUAUGUUUGAAUCCUUGCUUUGCCACUUAUUGGACAGGCCAUGUUAGGCCAGUUGGUUUUCCUCUCUGAACCUCAGUUUCCACUAAGUGUAAAAUGUCCACCUCCUCAGGUCGUUGUGAGGAUUAAAUGAGGCAACAGAUGUAAAGUGCUUAGCACAGAACAGCACUCAAUAAUGAUAGCUGUUAAUUGUCAUUAAACAGUAAGCUUCAGGUCUGUCAAUCCUUUUGUCUCCAUGGCCCAGAACAGAGUUAGUCUCUUAGUAGGUGCUCAAUAAAUAACUGGUGAUUGAGUACAAUAGGGACACCACUGAGAUGCUUCAUUCCAUGUCUUUCCAUGAAGACAAAUCUCUUUCUUUUCUCAGGAUUAACUGUACUGCACUGGAUGGUGCAAUGGAUGGUAUCUCCCUCUUUUCACUUUGGCCACUAGGAAGCUCAGAGCCAAGUGUGCUUGUCUCCUCUAGCUAGUAUGCAGACCAUUAGGGCUGUUGUCUUGUAAACCAGUGUUUCUCAAACUUGGCUGUAUAGUAGAACUACCUGGGGCACCUGAAAGCAAUCCUGAUAGCCAGGUUACAUCUAUACCAGUUAAAUCAGGAUCUCUGGGAGUGCGAUUCCAGCAGCAGUACUUUUUAAAGCUCCUCAGGGGAUUCUAAUGCACAAUGAGAGAACAGGUAUUCUAAAUUAACCUUACCCCUGACUUUAUUUCAUUUUUUUCUAUCCUUAUUUUUCUUUCAUGAUAAUAAAUAUUAUAUCUCUUAUCCCCUCCGUCUAUAUCUUCAUCUUCCAUGUGGAAAGUAAUACAUGUCUUCUUAUGAGUCAUCAAAAACACGGUGCUUAGCAGUAAGGAGGCAGAGGAAUAGAGAAGGAAAUCGGUUCUUUCUCUCUCGAGAAAAAUUCAUUUAUUCAUUUAUGCAUGCAUCAUUCAUUUAUAUUCAGCAAAUAUUUAUGAAGUGCUUUGGGCUUCGUGCCAUGUUUGGGGAACGGGAUUACCUCCAUGUUUGGUGAAAAUCAUGUCUAAGAGAGAUCCUUCCUAGUGAAUAUGUUUUUUAGGCAUAUGAUAAUUUCACGUUGUCUGACAGGAGCUGUGCUUCUGACAUUUCUCUUGCCCUCCAGGGAGGAUCUUGGCAUUUACCCAGAGAAACAUCCUAACGUGUCCACAGCAGGGAGUGGUAAAGAACCUAGACGCGUGUCAGUCACCAGAAGGCAUCUCAGCCCCAGGAAAGCUGAGUAUUUGUAUGAUGAAGCACAGAGUGGAUUUUGGCUUACGUCUUUCAUCACUUGGCCGAGUCCUCUGUCAGAUGAAAAGGUAGCAGCUCGGAGCAUUAGUGGAAACAGCCGUCAGCCUAAGCUCCUUGUGAGAGCAGCAGGCUGGGAUGAGGAAGGCUGGGUGUGGGCUGACGACAGUGGCAGUGACCCUCAAUCACACAGACCCAAAGUACUCAGAGAGCCCCUUUGGCACCAGCCAAGAUGCAUCGUGGCUGCUGCAGACCCUGGGGCAGAUCCUUCAGCAGCAGUGUUCCCCAGUCCGUGCUGAGCUGAGGAAGGACAAAGAAAAGAGGUGCCAGCAGGCCCCUGGCGACAAUUUGCACAAAAGGUCAAUUUGGAUUUCUUAUCUGAAUGUAGAUUCUGCUUGAGUUUGUGGGUCUGGCUGUCUCUACACAGAGUGGUAGUGGAAGGAAGCCUGCAGCAGGGGCCACUCUUAAGCCAGGUCAUGCUUUGCAGUGGGGUGUUCCAGCCAAGGUGAGAAAAUGUGAGUCGCUCCCCAGUGGGUGCAAAUAUGUGGGAGAAAAUUGAAUAGAAUCCAUUCCCUCCUCACCCCCCACCCCCAUUCUACCAGGGAGCAUGCCUCUCCCUCACUCUCUCUUUUGUUCUCAUUUUCAGUUUUUCUGUGUCCUGCCAAAGCCUUUCUGUUGUUAAAAAAGAAAUUAGAACCAAACGGAGAAGGGGGAACCGCUGUGGCCAAAGAUAACACCAAAAAAGGUGGCAAUUGGUGGCAGCCUCAGUUUUCCUCAGCUGGUCAGAGUCUCAAAUAAACAAGCAGAAAUUCAUGGCAUCGCUGGUACCCACACAUCUGGUGGGGCCAAGCAGCACAGCAGGGCCACUGCAUGCCCUUGAGUUCUUGCCACAAUGGUGCCACUCAGACCCCAGGGACCUUCCAGCCUCACUCCCUGGGCUCCUUCUCCCCUUCUUCUUUUUCAGGGAGGUGAGGCUCUAUUGCCUCCGUGGCUUUCAGCCCCAGGACAUGAAUGCCCUUCCCCAAUUUUGGAAGGAUUUAUGCCCUUUGGUGGAGCAGGUUUUAAAGCCAAAAGGUUUUUCAUGAUGGGCAAACACACAAAUAAUGGCACCACCACGGCCUGUGGUGGAGGCCUGUGUGGUCAGACUUGUUGGCCAAUGAGCUGAGUGGGUGGGGGCUCUCCGUGGGUCCCAGGGGGAAUCAAGGAACUUUAGAAGAGUGAGUCUUCUAAAGUGUGUCUGUUCAGCUUCUCUCGGCAAGAGGCAAGCUUUGCAGGGUGCCUUUUUGGACAGGGUUGUCUGGGCCACUGGGCCGGGCUUUCCCGAAAAGCCACCUGAGCACUUGACUUAAUGCUGACAUAAGGAAGUGGUCAUGACUGGAAACUUGAAUCUGGAAUGGGGGCUCUUCCUGCCCAGGGUACUUUUGUGCACCUUGCUGGAUAAAGUGAGCUUUCGCUGCUCCGUGGGCAGCCUCGUGAGUGGGAAAGGCGUCUAGCUGAGAGGCAUGAGGUGUGGACCCACUUGGUCAGUCGUCUGCUGUGCUACUUGGGACAACUCACUCAGCAUCUCUGGGCCUCACAUGAGCAUCUCAGCCCCUUUCCACCUCAAGAUAUUUUAUGUAAUCAAGUGUGUUAGUAAUUUGGUGUCUUUCAUUCUCUGUAGUUUAUGUAGACAGGAAGUGGAGUUGUGUUAAAAAGAAAGUGGGUGAAGCCAAAACACACAUACACAAAACCCCUCGGCAUCUCUCCGUUGAGUUUCACUUGUCAGAAAGUGCUGCUAAAGGACAGCUUGAUUUUUCUUUAUGCGGCUCGUCUGCGAAUAGCACUUGAAUGAAAAUAUUCUCUUUCAUCUUUGUGACAGAAAUAUGAUUCAGUAAUUCUUUGUGAAAAUGAGGAUGAUACACUGCCAUAGUUACAGUGAGUUAGGUUUAAGUGGCAAAUGCCUACUGAUAAAGACUUAAUUAAAGACACAAUAGCAGUGGGAGGUCAUUAUGGUAAUUACAGUCCCAGCUUUAUUGUGGGGGCCCAGUACUGAAUUGUAGCAGCACAUUAUCGCUACAUAGUGUCUUGGUUUGAGGAGGCAGUGAUCCCAUCCUGAGAUUUUAGACUUUCAUUGACUAUAGGAUCCGUGCUCUUUGCAGAUGCCCUGGUUCAACUUUGUUUUAGUGUAGGGUUUGUGCAUCAUUAAAAAAAAAUGCAUGAUAAAAUAAAUCAGUAAUCCUGUAUGGGGGCAUCCUGUUUCUUUUUUUUUUUUCCCCGUUUUUUUCUUUUUUUUUUUUUUUUUUUGACACCUGUGGUAUGUGAAGGGUUGUGAAGGUGCCUGGAAUUUCUUUACGGCAGCACAUCCAUAAGCCUUAUAGGGGGAAUUAUGAGGCCUUGGAGAACAAACUGUUGUGAGGCCAUUCUUUGCCUGGAAUGGAGCCAUGGGUGGUGCAGUGGGAAGACCUGGAAUAGUCUGACUUAGAGGUGGUUGUGAAGUGUGGAAAGCUGUUGUUUCCCAUUUAUGAGCAAGGAAGCAGAGCUCUCAGCAUCUCCCUAGGGCCUCUGCCUCUGGGAUGCUGUUAUAUUACUUUGAAGGCAUUGCGCCAUGCCAGAUCACAGGAAGAGGGCCUUUGUGCAUUUAAGGACUUGUAGGAAAGAGGACAGGGUCUUGAACUGGGUUUCUUGUCACAUAGGUUGGAAUGUUGGUAGCAAAGGAUAAGAGGCACCAGCAGUUUGCCACUGCGGUAAAGAAUAUUGUCAUCAUAAUUAGUUACCUUCGAUUGAAUAACAUAAUAUUGGUAGGCGUUCCCGUCGUGGCUCAGUGGUUAACGAAUCUGACUAGGAACCAUGCAGUUGCGGGUUCGAUCCCUGGCUUUGCUCAGUGGGUUAAGGAUCUGGCGUUGCUGUGAGCUGUGGUGUAGGUCGCAGAUGUGGCUCAGAUCCCGCAUUGCUGUGGCUCUGGCAUAGGUCGGCGGCUACAGCUCCGAUUCGACCCCUAGUCUGGGAACCUCCAUGUACCACGGGAGCGGCCCUAGAAGAGGCAAAAAGACAAAAAACAAAAACAAAAACAAAAUUGGUAGGUUAAGCAUGAAGGUCCAUCAUAGGACAUUUUCUUCAAUAGGAGUCUUCUAAGAAAGUAGAAUGGUGGUUGCCAGCAGCGUGGGGGAGAGGCAACUGGGGAAUUCAGUUUCAGUUUGGGAAGAUGACAAAGUCCUGAAGAUGGAUUACAGUGUUGGCUGCACAGCAAUGCGAACAUACUUAUGUCACUGAACUAUACCCUUAAAAAUGGUGAAUGUGGGCAAUUUUAUGUGGUGUGUGUUUCGUCACAGUUUUAGAAAACUCUAGUCUUCUGCUUUUUUGAAGUCUGGGAUAAGUCGUUUUUGGGUUAUUAGAUAUUCUAUUCAACUAGUUGAAGUUGUAGAAGGUUUUAUCCUUUUUCCCAAAGACACUGUUUUUUUUUUUUUUUUUCUGACUUUUGCCUUGAUGUUAGCUUGCCUAAUGAUUCUUCAAGAGGCAUUUCUGUCCCUGACCAGAAUGAUGUAAUGAGAUGUAUAGAUCAAACAAGAAAAGACUCAUGGAGUACAAUUUUAGGAUAUCCAGGGAAUAUACCUCAAAAUAUUUUCCACAUUAUCCUGCUGCUAAUGCUAGAAAUGGUCUGAGCAGCAAUUCAUUCCUUCGGAUUACUUUAGAAGCUAUAGAUUCCUUUAAAAUGGACAAAAGUAUGGCCAGGAAAGUGCUCCUUGACUCUUCCCGAGCAGUCCUAGGCCAUCAAGGCUCAGAUGAAAUUAAAUGGGAUCCCAUAGUCCUCCUUAGGUCUUGGGUCCUGAAUCUUCUUGAGCCUCUUUGCUGGUUCCUGACUUUGGUUAAGACCCUGGAUGUUGGCUACUUGAGAUUUGGCUGGUUGGAUCAGCUUACUGGUUGGAUCUCACUUUGGCUUUGCCUAAUUGACUCAUCUGCUGCCUCCUUGUCUGGCUUUGAUAUGUAGCUGCAUCUCUUCUGGCAUCUACCUCCAGCAAGUCCCAGGUUUGGUUUUUACUACAUUUCACCAGGAUUCAGGGUCUUGUUUUAAAAUGCCGAUAAUUUCCAAAGGAGUGACUACUCUUCCUUAAACCACCUAAGUGAUUAAGUUCCAGAAGAGUGUCCUUGGGUGGAAACUUCGACUUGGGUGAAAAGUGGGAGUAGGAUGCUUAAUGGUGGAGAGAAAUAGUCAGUAAUUGAAGACGUUGGUACCUCAUUCUCAACAGCUGAUAGAACUAUUAGAAGAUCCGCAAGAUUACAGAAGAACUGAACAAACUUUCAAACAAUAGGAUCUAAUUAACAUUUAUAGAGUACUUUACCCAACAAUAACAGGAUAUAUAUUCUUUUCAAGCACUCAUGAAACAUUCACCAAGAUAGAUAACAUCCUGAAUCAAAAAUCAAACUUAAAAAAAUUUAAAGAAUUGAAAUGGUAUAGAUUAUUUUUUUUGGACCAUAAUGGAAUCAAACUCAAAACCAUGAUUUAAAAGACAACAGAAAAAUCUCCAAAUACUUGGAAAUGAAACAACACAGUUCUAAAUAACCUGUGGAAACCUCAAAACACAUUUUAAAAAUACUUAGAAUUGAAUAAAAAAGAAAACAACAUAUCAGCAUUUAUGGGAUACAGUGUUAAGAGGGAACUUCAUACCAUUAAAUGUUUAUAUUAGAAAAGAGGAGGAGCUCCCUUGUGGUGCAGUGGGUUGAAGAUCUGGCAUUGUCACUGCAUUGGCCCAGGUCACUGCUGUGGUGUGGAUUUGGUCCCUAGCCUGGGAACUUCUACAUGCCAUG
rnacentral:lncRNA from 1 species